GUCUGCCCCCACCAGGACUGUGACUCUUUCCUCUGUUUGACCUGGCCUCUCACCUUUGGACCACGGCCGCUCAGCCACCUCCUUUGCUGCCCCUCGUGCCUCCCGAGGAAGCAUCCCCUCUCUUCGCCAGGCUCUCCCCCUUCUCCCUCCCCUCCCUGUCACCUCCAUCCCAGAAAGAAGCCUUCACUUUCUCCACCAGCCUCUCUCCCCUCAACCCCCAGCAGCUGUGGGGGAAAUUGGGCCAUUUGAAGAAUAAAGGAGAAGGCAGGAGGGAGGAAACUCCCAUCCCAGGGCCCGGUCCACAGCUGGGGUGAAAGCCUGUUCCUCGUUAACACCCUGACUCAGGGACCAGGACUGGGGUGUCGUGUCUCCUCCGCCUCCCACGGGCCGGGAGGUGAAAGGCAUGCUGGGAGGUGGUAGCCGGAGUUAUUGGGAGCAGAUGGGAAGGGAUGGUGGAGGGGCAGGGCUGUGGGGGAGGGAGGGGCAACCUAGGGGUAGGAGGAAACCGAAAAGACCCUUACCCAGACCACUGGGGUCCUGAGCCAGUUAUCUGGAUGUUCUCCACGGGACAUUCCUUGGUCCAGGUGACAGGUAAAUCCAGAUUUGAGGGAUGGAGAGGCUUCAGAAAGGUCAAUGCUAAGGCCAUGUCUGUUUGGUAUGGACCCUGGGGAUCCACAUCACCUGACCCUCUCCUGAGUCCCUCUGGGGUCUGAGGAUCUGUGUCCAGGGGCCCUGACAGGGGUGGGGUGAGAGGUGGGAGCAUGUGUUACAUGUAGACUGUGCUCGAGGAAGCCAGAGGCUGCUGGACUGGGAGCAGGAGGCUGGGCCCAGCGGCAGCUGACAGGAAUGAGGUGGCGUCAGUCGAGGGGAAGUUCUCAAGAGCAUUGAGGGCCAAUGAGCCACAUUUCAAAGGUUGACUGUGAUGCAGACAGGGAUGCUGGUGAGUGUGGUGCUGGUUGCAGUGCUGACAGAGGCGGUGUGGUGGUGGCGAUGGGGCCGUGAAUGUGGAGCCUGAUGUCCUCUGUGCCCAGUGACUCCACUCAGUUGCCCGCCUGCUUUUAUGGGAGCCACUUGGUGAAACGUCCCUUUCUGUUUGGUAAGACCCCGCCCUCUCAUCUCCAGUCCUUGGAAACACCUUGGUCUUAGCUGAGCUGAGUCCUGGUCUUCAUCCCUAACCGCCUCUGCAGCCCCCAGCCCUCGGCCCAGAGCUGAGUCUGCAGAGACGAGUGGACGGUGCUGAGUCCCAACCACUUAAGAAUCCAAGCGGUUUAGGGUCUGGAGGAAGAGGUGGGGCCAGGGAGGGUGAGUCAGGACUGCAGUUGUGGACGCCCUUGGCCCCUGCUCCUUAGGCACUCCUCCUUCUUAGCCAGGCCAGGCAGGCCCCCGGGCCUGCACUUCCUGCCUCGCAUGGCUUGGGCCCAGAUUCUUCCUCCAAUAUUUUAAUUAGAUCCCAAGCUCAUUAGCUGCCCAAAUGCCUUCCAGACACCCUGCAGCUGCUCUGGCCCUCCCCACACCUGCCCAUCCAGCUGGGCCUCCCCCACACCUGAAAGACAUCGGGGCUUAGAACUCCAGCCCCUCCCUGGGGCCUCCAACAGCCAGGACCAGGAAAGGAGAAGCAGGCUCUUCGGCUGAGGGAGGGUGGGAGGCCACAGGAGGGGCCUUGCUCUGCAGGGACGCCUGGGAGGUGAGUUGUGGCACAGCCCAGGAGAUAGGACGUUGGAUGCCCCAUCUGCCAAUACCAGAGAGCCUGGGCUCUGGUCCUCUGCCACUUCACUGAGCCUAGGUCCUUCCCUCCUGGGCCCUCUCGAGAGGACUGAUCAGCACCCAGGUGUUAGCCUUCUGUACAAGUGCAGUGGCCAAGAAGGGUGUGUGAGGGAGAAAGCUAGCCCAGAAAGGGGGCUUCGGGGAGCUGGACUUUGAUCUCAGCAGACUUCCUUGUAGGAUUUGCCAGUCCAAAUCAUCGCUCAAUGAGUGGCAGAAAGGGUCAUAUCCCAGAUCGUGGUUGCUGCAGAUGGUCUUGGCUAUUGGAAGCAGGGCUGCACUGAACUUUCAGGGAAGCUAUAGAAGAGGAUUUAUAGGGGAACCAGCUACAAGAUGAAUUCAGUUAACAAAAUCAAGAGCUUUCUAAUAAAAUAGCAAUAGCUAAUUAUGAAGGAAAAAAAUUUCCCUGGCAUGAACUCUUGAAAGCUGUGCAGAACCCAUAGGAAUGAAACUCUGAAACAGUACUGAAACUCACAAAAGAAGACUUGAAUAAAUGGAAGGACAUGCUUCUUGUUGAGAAGAUUCAAUGUGUAAAAAUGUUGUUUCACCACAUAUUAAUUUAUACCUUUAAUAAAAUUCUGAUAAACAUUCUCAUAGUAGUUUUUCAGAACUUUAAGAGAACACAAAGUUCAGUUGGAAAAAUGAAUAGGCAAGAAUGCUUCAUUAUUAAAUAAAAACAUUAGCAUUCAGCUCAAAAAACUCAAAAAAGAACAAAACACACCAAAGGAAAUAGGAGGGAAAAGUUAUAAAGAAAAGAUGAAUUACAA
ensembl:lncRNA